rnacentral:rRNA from 1 species
GGGUUGUGAGGUUAAGCGACUAAGCGUACACGGUGGAUGCCCUGGCAGUCAGAGGCGAUGAAGGACGUGCUAAUCUGCGAUAAGCGUCGGUAAGGUGAUAUGAACCGUUAUAACCGGCGAUUUCCGAAUGGGGAAACCCAGUGUGUUUCGACACACUAUCAUUAACUGAAUCCAUAGGUUAAUGAGGCGAACCGGGGGAACUGAAACAUCUAAGUACCCCGAGGAAAAGAAAUCAACCGAGAUUCCCCCAGUAGCGGCGAGCGAACGGGGAGCAGCCCAGAGCCUGAAUCAGUGUGUGUGUUAGUGGAAGCGUCUGGAAAGGCGCGCGAUACAGGGUGACAGCCCCGUACACAAAAAUGCACAUACUGUGAGCUCGAUGAGUAGGGCGGGACACGUGGUAUCCUGUCUGAAUAUGGGGGGACCAUCCUCCAAGGCUAAAUACUCCUGACUGACCGAUAGUGAACCAGUACCGUGAGGGAAAGGCGAAAAGAACCCCGGCGAGGGGAGUGAAAAAGAACCUGAAACCGUGUACGUACAAGCAGUGGGAGCACGCUUAGGCGUGUGACUGCGUACCUUUUGUAUAAUGGGUCAGCGACUUAUAUUCUGUAGCAAGGUUAACCGAAUAGGGGAGCCGAAGGGAAACCGAGUCUUAACUGGGCGUUAAGUUGCAGGGUAUAGACCCGAAACCCGGUGAUCUAGCCAUGGGCAGGUUGAAGGUUGGGUAACACUAACUGGAGGACCGAACCGACUAAUGUUGAAAAAUUAGCGGAUGACUUGUGGCUGGGGGUGAAAGGCCAAUCAAACCGGGAGAUAGCUGGUUCUCCCCGAAAGCUAUUUAGGUAGCGCCUCGUGAAUUCAUCUCCGGGGGUAGAGCACUGUUUCGGCAAGGGGGUCAUCCCGACUUACCAACCCGAUGCAAACUGCGAAUACCGGAGAAUGUUAUCACGGGAGACACACGGCGGGUGCUAACGUCCGUCGUGAAGAGGGAAACAACCCAGACCGCCAGCUAAGGUCCCAAAGUCAUGGUUAAGUGGGAAACGAUGUGGGAAGGCCCAGACAGCCAGGAUGUUGGCUUAGAAGCAGCCAUCAUUUAAAGAAAGCGUAAUAGCUCACUGGUCGAGUCGGCCUGCGCGGAAGAUGUAACGGGGCUAAACCAUGCACCGAAGCUGCGGCAGCGACGCUGAUGCGUUGUUGGGUAGGGGAGCGUUCUGUAAGCCUGCGAAGGUGUGCUGUGAGGCAUGCUGGAGGUAUCAGAAGUGCGAAUGCUGACAUAAGUAACGAUAAAGCGGGUGAAAAGCCCGCUCGCCGGAAGACCAAGGGUUCCUGUCCAACGUUAAUCGGGGCAGGGUGAGUCGACCCCUAAGGCGAGGCCGAAAGGCGUAGUCGAUGGGAAACAGGUUAAUAUUCCUGUACUUGGUGUUACUGCGAAGGGGGGACGGAGAAGGCUAUGUUGGCCGGGCGACGGUUGUCCCGGUUUAAGCGUGUAGGCUGGUUUUCCAGGCAAAUCCGGAAAAUCAAGGCUGAGGCGUGAUGACGAGGCACUACGGUGCUGAAGCAACAAAUGCCCUGCUUCCAGGAAAAGCCUCUAAGCAUCAGGUAACAUCAAAUCGUACCCCAAACCGACACAGGUGGUCAGGUAGAGAAUACCAAGGCGCUUGAGAGAACUCGGGUGAAGGAACUAGGCAAAAUGGUGCCGUAACUUCGGGAGAAGGCACGCUGAUAUGUAGGUGAAGUCCCUCGCGGAUGGAGCUGAAAUCAGUCGAAGAUACCAGCUGGCUGCAACUGUUUAUUAAAAACACAGCACUGUGCAAACACGAAAGUGGACGUAUACGGUGUGACGCCUGCCCGGUGCCGGAAGGUUAAUUGAUGGGGUCAGCGCAAGCGAAGCUCUUGAUCGAAGCCCCGGUAAACGGCGGCCGUAACUAUAACGGUCCUAAGGUAGCGAAAUUCCUUGUCGGGUAAGUUCCGACCUGCACGAAUGGCGUAAUGAUGGCCAGGCUGUCUCCACCCGAGACUCAGUGAAAUUGAACUCGCUGUGAAGAUGCAGUGUACCCGCGGCAAGACGGAAAGACCCCGUGAACCUUUACUAUAGCUUGACACUGAACAUUGAGCCUUGAUGUGUAGGAUAGGUGGGAGGCUUUGAAGUGUGGACGCCAGUCUGCAUGGAGCCGACCUUGAAAUACCACCCUUUAAUGUUUGAUGUUCUAACGUUGACCCGUGAUCCGGGUUGCGGACAGUGUCUGGUGGGUAGUUUGACUGGGGCGGUCUCCUCCUAAAGAGUAACGGAGGAGCACGAAGGUUGGCUAAUCCUGGUCGGACAUCAGGAGGUUAGUGCAAUGGCAUAAGCCAGCUUGACUGCGAGCGUGACGGCGCGAGCAGGUGCGAAAGCAGGUCAUAGUGAUCCGGUGGUUCUGAAUGGAAGGGCCAUCGCUCAACGGAUAAAAGGUACUCCGGGGAUAACAGGCUGAUACCGCCCAAGAGUUCAUAUCGACGGCGGUGUUUGGCACCUCGAUGUCGGCUCAUCACAUCCUGGGGCUGAAGUAGGUCCCAAGGGUAUGGCUGUUCGCCAUUUAAAGUGGUACGCGAGCUGGGUUUAGAACGUCGUGAGACAGUUCGGUCCCUAUCUGCCGUGGGCGCUGGAGAAUUGAGGGGGGCUGCUCCUAGUACGAGAGGACCGGAGUGGACGCAUCACUGGUGUUCGGGUUGUCAUGCCAAUGGCACUGCCCGGUAGCUAAAUGCGGAAGAGAUAAGUGCUGAAAGCAUCUAAGCACGAAACUUGCCCCGAGAUGAGUUCUCCCUGACUCCUUGAGAGUCCUGAAGGAACGUUGAAGACGACGACGUUGAUAGGCCGGGUGUGUAAGCGCAGCGAUGCGUUGAGCUAACCGGUACUAAUGAACCGUGAGGCUUAACCUUACAACGCCGAAGCUGUU